UUUGGUGGCGAUAGCGGAGGGGUUCCACACGUACCCAUGCCGAACACGACCGUUAAGCCCUCCAGCGCCGAUGGUACUUGGACCGCAGGGUCCUGGGAGAGUAGGACGUCGCCAAGC
rnacentral:rRNA from 1 species